GUGGGGAAUAUUGGACAAUGGGCGAAAGCCUGAUCCAGCCAUGCCGCGUGUGUGAAGAAGGUCUUCGGAUUGUAAAGCACUUUAAGUUGGGAGGAAGGGCAGUAAGUUAAUACCUUGCUGUUUUGACGUUACCGACAGAAUAAGCACCGGCUAACUUCGUGCCAGCAGCCGCGGUAAUACGAAGGGUGCAAGCGUUAAUCGGAAUUACUGGGCGUAAAGCGCGCGUAGGUGGUUUUGUAAGUUGGAGGUGAAAUCGCCGGGCUCAACCUGGGAACUGCCUCCAAAACUGCAUGACUAGAGUACGGUAGAGGGUAGUGGAAUUUCCUGUGUAGCGGUGAAAUGCGUAGAUAUAGGAAGGAACACCAGUGGCGAAGGCGACUACCUGGACUGAUACUGACACUGAGGUGCGAAAGCGUGGGGAGCAAACAGGAUUAGAUACCCGUGUAGUCC
rnacentral:rRNA from 1 species